rnacentral:rRNA from 1 species
AAUGAACGUUGGCGGCGUGGAUUAGGCAUGCAAGUCGAGCGGGUGUAGCAAUACAUCAGCGGCGAAAGGGAGAGUAAUGCGUGGAUACCUACCCUCGGGUUCGGGAUAGCUACGGGAAACUGUAGGUAAUACCGAAUAACAUCUCCGGAUCAAAGGUGUGAUUCCGCCCGGGGAGGGUCCGCGUCCUAUUAGCUAGUUGGCGAGGUAACGGCUCACCAAGGCGAAGAUGGGUAUGGGGUGUGAGAGCAUGCCCCCACUCACUGGGACUGAGACACGGCCCAGACUCCUACGGGAGGCAG